GGGGAAUAUUGGACAAUGGGCGCAAGCCUGAUCCAGCCAUGCCGCGUGAGUGAUGAAGGCCUUAGGGUUGUAAAGCUCUUUCAGUGGGGAAGAUAAUGACGGUACCCACAGAAGAAGCCCCGGCUAACUUCGUGCCAGCAGCCGCGGUAAUACGAAGGGGGCUAGCGUUGUUCGGAUUUACUGGGCGUAAAGCGCACGUAGGCGGAUUGGUCAGUUAGAGGUGAAAUCCCGAAGCUCAACUUCGGAACUGCCUUUAAUACUGCCAGUCUAGAGUCCGGAAGAGGUAAGUGGAACUCCUAGUGUAGAGGUGGAAUUCGUAGAUAUUAGGAAGAACACCAGUGGCGAAGGCGGCUUACUGGUCCGGUACUGACGCUGAGGUGCGAAAGCGUGGGGAGCAAAC
rnacentral:rRNA from 1 species